UACCAGCACCCCGAGUGGUCGGGACGAUUAUUGGGCCUAAAGCAUCCGUAGCCGGCCUUACAAGUCCUCCGUUAAAUCCAGCUGCUUAACAGAUGGGCUGCGGAUGAUACUAUAAGACUAGGAGGCAGGAGAGGCAAGCGGUACUCAGUGGGUAGGGGUAAAAUCCGUUGAUCCAUUGAAGACCACCAGUGGCGAAGGCGGCUUGCCAGAAUGCGCUCGACGGUGAGGGAUGAAAGCUGGGGGAGCAAACCGG
rnacentral:rRNA from 1 species